UUGUGCAAUGAUGGUAUUUAACUAUCUUUCGGGGCUGACUGUUGAUGACAACAAUCUUGCUGCUGAGCACGU
rnacentral:snoRNA from 1 species